AACGAACGCUGGCGGCAUGCCUAACACAUGCAAAUCGAACGAGACCUUCGGGUCUAGUGGCGCACGGGUGCGUAACGCGUGGGAACCUGCCCUUAGGUUCGGAAUAACUCCCCGAAAGGGGUGCUAAUACCGGAUAAUGUCUUCGGACCAAAGAUUUAUCGCCUUUGGAUGGGCCCGCGUUGGAUUAGCUAGUUGGUAGGGUAAAAGCCUACUAAGGCGACGAUCCAUAGCUGGUCUGAGAGGAUGAUCAGCCACACUGGGACUGAGACACGGCCCAGACUCCUACGGGAGGCAGCAGUGGGGAAUAUUGGACAAUGGGCGAAAGCCUGAUCCAGCAAUGCCGCGUGAGUGAUGAAGGCCUUAGGGUUGUAAAGCUCUUUUACCCGGGAUGAUAAUGACAGUACCGGGAGAAUAAGCUCCGGCUAACUCCGUG
rnacentral:rRNA from 1 species